GUAUCAAGCAACAUUACACGACAAAGAAAGAAACAGGUUGGGUGAUAGCUUCGCUAGAAGUAAUAGUGUUCUGUGGGUGAUAGUGUGAUGUUUGUUUCCUUCGCGUAAUGUGUGAUGUUGCAUUACAUCGUAGAGUAAUAUUACCGGAGUAAUAUCACUCGCAUUACUUACACAUGUCUAAUAAUUACGCAAUUUUGUAUACAUUUUGAGGAUUUUAUUUAUAUACAAAGUUUUCUUUCAACAUGAAAGCCGUUUAUGGACACAAAUGAGCCGACGAGCAUACGGUCCACCUGAUGGUGAGUGGGGAGUGAGAGUACCGUCGCCCAUGGACUUCAGCAAUGCCAGGGGCAGAGCCAAGCCGCUGCCUACCGCUUAAUACUCUCCACAAGCCUCUUUUAAAGAAGGACAUGUCAUAGCGCUCAGGAAACACCGUGGAGGGGAGCUCAUUCUAUAGCCGGACUGAAAACCAAACAUAGUUGACAGGAGAUAGAAUUCUACUCGAUUCGCAACCUCGCUAUUUUUUAAUAUUAUUAUUCGCUCAA